rnacentral:rRNA from 1 species
GACGAACGCUGGCGGCGUGCUUAACACAUGCAAGUCGAACGAGAGCGUAGAGAAAGCUUGCUUUUUCUACAAUCUAGUGGCAAACGGGUGAGUAACGCGUAAACAACCUGCCCUACGGAUGGGGACAACAGCUGGAAACGGCUGCUAAUACCGAAUACGUUCCGAAAGUCGCAUGACUAUCGGAAGAAAGGAUGGCCUCUAUUUAUAAGCUAUCGCCGGAGGAGGGGUUUGCGUCUGAUUAGCUAGUUGGAGGGGUAACGGCCCACCAAGGCGACGAUCAGUAGCCGGUCUGAGGGGAUGAACGGCCACAUUGGAACUGAGACACGGUCCAGACUCCUACGGGAGGCAGCAGUGGGGAAUCUUCCGCAAUGGGCGAAAGCCUGACGGAGCAACGCCGCGUGAGUGAAGACGGCCUUCGGGUUGUAAAGCUCUGUUAUACGGGACGAAUAAUCUUGUGGUUAAUACCCAUGAGAAGUGACGGUACCGUAAGAGAAAGCCACGGCUAACUACGUG